UACGGAGGGAGCUAGCGUUGUUCGGAAUUACUGGGCGUAAAGCGCACGUAGGCGGCUUUGUAAGUUAGAGGUGAAAGCCUGGGGCUCAACCCCAGAAUUGCCUUUAAGACUGCAUCGCUUGAAUCCAGGAGAGGUGAGUGGAAUUCCGAGUGUAGAGGUGAAAUUCGUAGAUAUUCGGAAGAACACCCGUGGCUAAGGCGGCUCUCUAGUACGGUACUGACGCUGAGACGCGAAAGCGUGGGGAGCGAACAGG
rnacentral:rRNA from 1 species